rnacentral:rRNA from 1 species
GACGAACGCUGGCGGCGUGCCUAAUACAUGCAAGUAGAACGCUGAAGGCGGAGCUUGCUUCUCUGGAUGAGUUGCGAACGGGUGAGUAACGCGUAGGUAACCUGCCUGGUAGCGGGGGAUAACUAUUGGAAACGAUAGCUAAUACCGCAUAAUAGCAGUUGUUGCAUGACAACUGUUUGAAAGGUGCAAUUGCACCACUACCAGAUGGACCUGCGUUGUAUUAGCUAGUUGGUGGGGUAACGGCUCACCAAGGCGACGAUACAUAGCCGACCUGAGAGGGUGGGCGGCCACACUGGGACGGAGACAGGGCCCAGACGCCUACGGGAGGCAGCAGUAGGGAAUCGUCGGCAAUGGACGGAGGUCUGACCGAGCAACGCCGCGUGAGUGAAGAAGGUUGUCGGAUCGGAAAGCUCGGUUGUAAGAGAAGAACGAGUGUGAGAGUGGAAAGUUCACACUGUGACGGUAUCUUACCAGAAAGGGACGGCUAACUACGUG